UAGGGAAUCUUCGGCAAUGGACGGAAGUCUGACCGAGCAACGCCGCGUGAGUGAAGAAGGUUUUCGGAUCGUAAAGCUCUGUUGUAAGAGAAGAACGAGUGUGAGAGUGGAAAGUUCACACUGUGACGGUAUCUUACCAGAAAGGGACGGCUAACUACGUGCCAGCAGCCGCGGUAAUACGUAGGUCCCGAGCGUUGUCCGGAUUUAUUGGGCGUAAAGCGAGCGCAGGCGGUUAGAUAAGUCUGAAGUUAAAGGCUGUGGCUUAACCAUAGUACGCUUUGGAAACUGUUUAACUUGAGUGCAAGAGGGGAGAGUGGAACUCCAUGUGUAGCGGUGAAAUGCGUAGAUAUAUGGAGGAACACCGGUGGCGAAAGCGGCUCUCUGGCUUGUAACUGACGCUGAGGCUCGAAAGCGUGGGGAGCAAACAGGAUUAGAUACCCUGGUAGUCCACGCCGUAAACGAUGAGUGCUAGGUGUUAGACCCUUUCCGGGGUUUAGUGCCGCAGCUAACGCAUUAAGCACUCCGCCUGGGGAGUACGACCGCAAGGUUG
rnacentral:rRNA from 1 species